rnacentral:sRNA from 1 species
GAAACAAGGGCAAAUUACCUGCUGAAAGAAUGCCAAGGGUCGGAGCAGUUGGAGCUCUAUAUGAUGGUGCCAGCUGUGGGCAGCACGGUGACUAGGUUGGGAGUGGCAUGUGGAGUUGUCAGGCACCACCUGCCAUUUAACUUCUCAUUUUUCUAGUUUGAAAAUGGUAUGAGCUUCGUUCUUCCUUUCAGAUCCAUGAGACAAUAGAAACCAUCAACCAGCUGAAGACUCAGCGGGAGUUCAUGUUGAGCUUUGCCAGAGACCCUCAGGGUUUCAUCAAUGACUGGCUUCAGUCCCAGUGCAGGGACCUCAAGACAAUGACUGAUGUGGUGGGUAACCCAGAGGAGGAGCGCCGAGCUGAGUUCUACUUCCAGCCCUGGGCUCAGGAGGCUGUGUGCCGAUACUUCUACUCCAAAGUGCAGCAGAGACGACAAGAAUUAGAGCAAGCCCUGGGAAUCCGGAAUACAUAGGGCCUCUCCCACAGCUCUGAUUCGACUGCACCAAUUCUUGAUUUGGGCCCUGUGCUGCCUGCCUCAUAGUACCUGCCUUGGUCUUGCUUGGGGCGUU